rnacentral:rRNA from 1 species
UACGUAGGGAGCGAGCGUUGUCCGGAAUUACUGGGCGUAAAGGGCGCGUAGGCGGGAUUUUAAGUCAGGUGUGAAAACGUAGGGCUCAACUUUACGAUUGCACUUGAGACUGGAAUUCUUGAGGACAGGAGAGGAAAGCGGAAUUCCUAGUGUAGCGGUGAAAUGCGUAGAUAUUAGGAGGAACACCAGUGGCGAAGGCGGCUUUCUGGACUGUAACUGACGCUGAGGCGCGAAAGCGUGGGGAGUGAACGGGAUUAGAUACC